UUAUUAUCCUCAACAAAGCGCUGUUUCUGGGGUCGGUGAUGGAAGAGGGGAGAUAGGGAAAGAGAGAAGCCAGGAUUCGGCUCCUGCUAGGGUUACUUGCUGGUCACCCAGGCGAGGAUUGGCACAGACAUCUACCUUGGGCAAGCAGAAGCCGGGAUCGGGGGUACAGGUCAGGGAUUGACCCGGAGGGGUGAGAGAAGUACUGCUUCAGGAAGAGAGAAGAGUAAUCUGGACAGAUAUCCAGAGAAACGAUGAGACUUGCACAAGCUAACCACCGCACUUCGGAAAUGUGCACCCCAAAGGAAGUGCAGAACGACCACAACCUGAAACUCAUAAAUCAACUUACAUUUACUGCCUGGCGCCUUCUCCUUCUGCCCAUCGUCCUCACCUGAAAAGAUGUUCUGAAACUCACUCCUAAUGAUGCCAGAAAGCAACAACCUCUGCAUUACUGUAUUAUUACAAUGAGCCAGGCCUAUCAAUGAAUGAUUCAGAACUUGGCAGGCGGGUGACAGUAAAAAUGACACGUUUGUUUAUUGCUACA